rnacentral:tRNA from 2 species
GGGGGAGUGGCCGAGCGGUUUAUGGCGCACGCCUGGAAAGCGUGUUUCUUAACGGAAACGUGGGUUCGAAUCCCACCUCCUCCG